rnacentral:rRNA from 1 species
GAGGAGCUUGCUCCUGGAUUCAGCGGCGGACGGGUGAGUAAUGCCUAGGAAUCUGCCUGGUAGUGGGGGACAACGUUUCGAAAGGAACGCUAAUACCGCAUACGUCCUACGGGAGAAAGCAGGGGACCUUCGGGCCUUGCGCUAUCAGAUGAGCCUAGGUCGGAUUAGCUAGUUGGUGAGGUAAUGGCUCACCAAGGCGACGAUCCGUAACUGGUCUGAGAGGAUGAUCAGUCACACUGGAACUGAGACACGGUCCAGACUCCUACGGGAGGCAGCAGUGGGGAAUAUUGGACAAUGGGCGAAAGCCUGAUCCAGCCAUGCCGCGUGUGUGAAGAAGGUCUUCGGAUUGUAAAGCACUUUAAGUUGGGAGGAAGGGUUGUAGAUUAAUACUCUGCAAUUUUGACGUUACCGACAGAAUAAGCACCGGCUAACUCUGUGCCAGCAGCCGCGGUAAUACAGAGGGUGCAAGCGUUAAUCGGAAUUACUGGGCGUAAAGCGCGCGUAGGUGGUUUGUUAAGUUGGAUGUGAAAUCCCCGGGCUCAACCUGGGAACUGCAUCCAAAACUGGCAAGCUAGAGUAUGGUAGAGGGUGGUGGAAUUUCCUGUGUAGCGGUGAAAUGCGUAGAUAUAGGAAGGAACACCAGUGGCGAAGGCGACCACCUGG